rnacentral:lncRNA from 1 species
GGACUUACCUGGAAGUACCUUGAAGCUACUGUCUAUUUUUUUUCCUUCCCCAUAAGCCUAAGGUGUGGGGAAGGCUCCCUCUCUGGAGGAGCAGGUCGGAAGACCUCGGUGCAAAAGCAGGGACCCCCUGGCUGACCCUGUUCUCCCUCUGCAAAAUAAAGGAUCGAUAUUUCCAGCAGAGGAGUCAACACUGCAGAUAUACCAUUUUGUCUGGCUCUUGCCUUGACACAACAAUUUAUUUAAUAAAUGCAUCUCCUGCAGAAGAAGGCACCGGGCACUGUGUCUUUUAUCUGCAGGAUAUGCAAAGCGCAUUUAUUCAGCUUUUAUCUCUGGAAUUGUAUGCUGAUCCCAUACAUAUAGAUUGAUUUUGUUCAGGUAGAUAAUGAAAAGUCAAGUGGAAAAUUACACAAUGGCACUCACGAUCCCGGUCUUAUAUCGGUAUAUAAAUUGGUUUAUUAUUUCAUUCUAUUAAAGGGGCUCUCCUCUUCAGGAAAACUUAAAAAUGCACUGUAUUGUCUGCCCAUCUGGAUUUUCUUGGGAGAAAGAGCUUGGAAGGAGGGAGAGAGCAAGAUGAUUUCCAUUUUUCCAUUCUUUUGGUUAAUUGUACCAGAUAAGUGACCGGCACCCUAGGGUGUCCUGGGGACUAUUUGUUUCCCACAGCCCACUUCAGAGUCGAGUCAGGGGCUUCUGUGACUCGGAUCAUUAUGGAUGAGAAUAAAUCUGCCCCUCACAAGUAUCCUCUUACAAAGGUGAAUAUUUUUACUAAAGGCAAUUUAUGAUUUUGUCCCAGUGACUGAAAGUGGCAACUCCCUCUGGACUGUGUGAGGGCCAGGGGUGAGAGGGUGACAGCAGGAAGAGGCCACCACCCAAGGACAGCUCUGAGCCGGAAUCCUGGAGGAAACGUUAUUAAUAAACAUCUUCUGGACAUUUGGCAGCCCGUGGAGCUUGCUCCAGCUUAAAGCAAUUAAUUCAGGACACCGACAUCAACUCUCCAGGUCUUUGACAGCUUGGAGCCGAAAUAAAAAUGCUAGUUCUCCGGGGAAGAGGGGAGGAGGGCCCGCUCUUUGCUGGACUGUUUGCUUAUGGGCCCAGCGAGCAACCUUCCCUGCAGAAUGAAAUGCAAGGUCGCACACAACGAACCGGCAGAGAAUAGAAGAUGGGAACGAACAGUUUGAACUAUUUGCUCAGCAGAAGGGCACCACAAUGCUGGGGUAGUGGCUUUCCCAUGCAUCCACUGUCCCUUCUUUGGGAUCUUUUGUUGUCCCGUCUCCUUUGGCCAGAUAAGAACACAGCUGCAGCCUUGUGGCUAAGUAAGGCUUCACUUAUCCCCUUAAAUCUCGGGGUGUCUUUUACUGUACCAGGCAUAGAUCAGUUCUUUCUUUUGACCAGGGGACUGGGAGGGAGGGAAGGAAGAAUUGAGGGGGAGGGAACAGACGGAAGACUCUCACAUUGCUGAUGUCUGGUUCAUGCCUUUCUUUCUCUCCUUUUUAAAUCCAAGCUGGGAUAAGAUGUGAUCUUUGUGGGCCAGUUUUAUUAAAGGGUCAGUGUUUUGUGCCAAAA